GCACGCGCACUCGCUCCAAGUGAAGCGCGCGCUCGAAAACCACGCCUCCGGGUAGCCUUAGAGAGCAAUUCCCGCUUUGGACGUCCGGACAGGAACGCUAAACUUCCGGUUAUCUAAUGAGCCACGCCGAUCUUGGUACCGAACGCAACACUUCCGGUUGCUGGCUCUUUGGUUUGGUAGGGUGGGUACCUAGGUACGGAGGAUUGGUACUAGGCACGGAACGACGAACAAAAGCGGCUGAAUCUUUAUAGAGCUUUCGUGAAAUUAUAAAUUAUAGAUACAGGCGCAGUAUAAAAUCGAAAUAUGUCCAGGGUUUAAAGAUGAGGGACGGAGUGCUGCAGAGGCCUAGAAUACAAAUAUGUCCGAGUAUGGAAAUUUUUCCCAAAGGAAAUGAUAUAGAGCUGAGAGUAAAAGAAUUGGUUGUGUGCUCUGGGGGAAGCCAGUUGUCACAUCAUGAGGACUUGCAACCCUAUGAAGUGGUGCCCAUUGCAAAGAACUGAAGCCUCCUUCCAACACCAGCACAAACUUGCCUGGCAUGCGAGUGAGCCAUUUUAGAAGCAGAUCCUCCAGUCUGGCAAGCCUUCAGAUGACUUCAGGUGAUGAGACAAUGUCUUGAUUGCAGCCUGAUGAGAGGCCCUCAGCCAAAACUACAUAACUCAUUUACUCAGGAUUUUCAAACAGCAGAAACUGAACUAAAUUUUGGGUAUUUUGUUAUAUUGUGAUAGAAAAUUAAUACAUGAUAUUGUGCAAGUCUCUUUUGCUGUAGACUGAUUAUGAACCUCCAAAAUUCCUAUUUGAGGUGGGUCUUUUGUAGGUGGGUAGGUCACGAGAGUGGAGCCUUCAUAAAUGGUAUUAAUGCCUUUACAAGAGACUCCAGAAAGUAAAAAAAAUGGCUAUCUAUGAAGCAGAAAAUGGGUCCUCACAGACAGAAAUCUGUUGGUGCUUUGGACUUCCCAGCCUCCAAACUAUGAGAAAUAAAUUUCUAUUAUUUAUAAGUCA